UACGAAGGGUGCUAGCGUUGUUCGGAAUUACUGGGCGUAAAGGGCGCGUAGGCGGCUUGGCAAGUUGGAUGUGAAAGCCCAGGGCUCAACCCUGGAAUUGCAUUCAAGACUGCCUUGCUUGAAUUCGGUAGAGGUUGGUGGAAUUCCCAGUGUAGAGGUGAAAUUCGUAGAGAUUGGGAAGAGCACCCGUGGCGAAGGCGGCCAACUGGACCGACAUUGACGCUGAGGCGCGAAAGCGUGGGGAUCAAACAGG
rnacentral:rRNA from 1 species